rnacentral:rRNA from 1 species
GACGUAGGGUGCGAGCGUUGUCCGGAUUUAUUGGGCGUAAAGAGCUCGUAGGCGGCUCGUCGCGUCGACCGUGAAAACCCGCGGCUUAACUGCGGGCUUGCGGUUGAUACGGGCGGGCUAGAGUUCGGUAGGGGAGACUGGAAUUCCUGGUGUAGCGGUGAAAUGCGCAGAUAUCAGGAGGAACACCGGUGGCGAAGGCGGGUCUCUGGGCCGAUACUGACGCUGAGGAGCGAAAGCAUGGGUAGCGAACAGG